CGAUUUUCAAUUCUCGAUUUAUUUAACCAAUAUCCAACAAAAAAAAUGUAUCAAACACCUAAAGUUGAAAAAUUCAAUUACAAUUCCACCCUAUCAAACACACCUGUACAUCAAUGCAAUUCCAUGGCAAUGGCGGGUUCAAAAAAAAAAAAAUUCCAUGGCAAUGGAACUUGGUGAGAAUUACUUGGGAUUCUGCAAAUCCAGCUUUUGUGAUUAUUUCAGGGAAGACACGUUCAGUCAAAGUCCAACGACUGCAUUAAAUUGUAUACAUCCCAAAUGCUUGCUCGAAUAUUGAAUCAGUCUUCAAGACGUGUGCUUAGAUCCAACAAACCAAAUCCAUAGGUAGAAACCAAUUCACUGACUUGCAAUCAACUGAAAACUCAUCAUUUAGUGAAGGUUCUCUAUUAGGACUUGUAAUUAGAUUACAAAAUAGUCAAAUUUUGGGUCAUAAACUAGAUUAUGUUAACAUGCAUAAAGACAAUUAACAUGUGCAGACAGUGCAGUAGUAAUAUAUUUUCCUUCAUCCCAUCUUCGUCAUUAAACUGGAAAGGAGGUUGGUUAACGAAAGUUACCAGAUAAGCUGAACAACUUAACAAUGUAGAAAACAAGGCCGUCAAAUUCCAACUGGAUUCCGAAUUCAGAGUGAGCAAACCAGAACUUGCAAUUUUUGAGCAGCUCUAGAUGGUAAAUACUAGCCGAAAGUGCAUAUACCGUUGAGAAUAAUUCCAAAAUUUUUUAUUUUUUAUUUUUCAUUUGAAGUAAAUAUUCAAAGAGGAGAUCAAAUUAUUGUCGUCUCAACUGUAAGGAUAUCAGACAAAACUAUGAAGAUAUAAUUAUAUAACUCUCCGUGCACAGUGGAACUUGCUGCAUUUUACAGAGAUCGAAUCCCUUGAGAAGAUUACAUUACCUAGAUCACAAUGUCGAAAUGAGUAUUUAGAGGGAGGGGUGCAUGUAAAAUUUUAAAUGGACAUAAUCUGAAGAUUACUUCUGAGUACAAGAAAAUAAAGCAAUUACUUGUUAGUAGAAGCAGCCAUGACUCUUACUUUAUGUCUUAGGAUAAGCGAACAACUCCAUCAAUAACUUCCUUGCCUGAAAUAAUUGAAAGAAUUAUUA
rnacentral:lncRNA from 1 species